GCGCAGCGCCUGUGCCGCCUCUCCGUGUGGAUCUGGCAGUCGGUCAUCCACCUGCUGCAGAUGGGGCAGGUGUGGAGCUCUAAGCGAAAGACAUGAGGCCUAAGACUGAAAUGAGGUUGUUUUGAGGCCAUCUGAUUUCUGACUAGAAGGUGUGCGAUCGCCUCGUCCUGAAACCACUGCAAACAGAAUGGUUUGCAAUUUUUUUUGGUGAUGGCAUGUUCAGAAUCUUGGAUCCCUAAGUUGAAUAUGUUGGAAAUAUUUAGGAACUCUGGAAAUUAUUGUUUUGUGUAUAUAAUGGCUUACUAGGUGAAUCAGUAGAUUUAAUAAAAAGUAUAUAAAAGACUAGGUAUUAUAAUUUUGUGUUUCUAAGUUGACAUGCAUAUCUCAAAUUGUCAUCUAUCAGUAUUAGUGUCAUUCUCUGGAGAUAGUCCUAUUUUGAAGAUUUGGGGGUUUUUAUGGACCCCGUAUUUCCCCAGGCAGUUUAUGUAUUCCCCUACUCCUUGGGCCAGUUUGUUCAGCUCCUUUACCUUUCUACUACUGUGCAGUGUAGCUUACUUAGAUCAGUGGUAAUUAUUGAACAGGAAGAGAUCAAGUGACAGUCCUAGAGAUAGUAAUUAUAAAAUUUCAGCCUGGAAAUGACCUCAGAACGGUCUGUAUUCGAAUAUACAGAUUAUAUCCAAAUACACUUGUGACAAAACGCUGCCGAUUUUCUCCUUGGAUAUUAUUAUCUAGGAGCAGAAGUGCUAAUAGGGAGGAAAAAGAACUGUUCAGUUUUACCUCUUCCCUCUCUCCCUAUUGUUGGGCGAAUGGGUUAGGGGAAAGUAAGAUGGCCAAGAGAUAGACCAUGGUAAACAAAAAGGAGGAAAAACAAAUUUUAAUCUCCAAGAAAGAAUAUUUCCCUUUAAAAAUUCGAAAGUUAGCUCCAUUCUGUGUACCUGAACAUACUGUUUUAAAACUGUGGGCUCACUUUCACAUAGGCCCAGAAUGUGAGCUAGGGUAUGCUUAUGCUUAACCAUAGAAAUGGCUGGAGAACUUGUUAUUUGAUAGGAGAGUCAGACAGUCCUUGGGUGACAGUCAGUGGUUGACUUGUUCCCUGACCUGUUCCUGCUGGGAUUAACAGAUUUGAGGAAUUUUCUGGGGCAGUUAUUUUGAUGGUCAAAUGAUACAACAGCCUCUCUACCCCUUUGACCAAAACUGAGGAAAAAAUUGAUUUUUAAGACUGUAUUUAGAACAGCCUGAAAAAGGAUCAUGGGAAAAGGCUGAGGUAGUCCAGUAGAAUGUUAAUGUAUUUGACUAUUACAAGGUUUAUUAUUGGUAGAUUAUCCAAUAAUACGGAAGUUGGUGUAUAACCCAAGUUUUCAUAACGUUUCUAUUAGAAGACUUCCAGAACUAAAUAAAAUACACCCUCCACCCCUUUGCUUUACUUUGCUUUGCUUUAAGAGGAUUUGACUGAUAGGUAUAUUUAAUAGGUGGCACAAUGAAGACAUUAGAUUUUUAAAAAUCAGGUUACAUUUUAAUUUAAAUGUGUGUUGCCUCUUUGCUGCUUUCCCAUUACAACUGGCUUUUUAAAAACUCUCCUUCUGUGAUACUUUUGUCAAUAGAGGUGUUUCCUCUUAGCCAGUUCUAGCCACAGUAUUGACUGGGCCUCAGCAUUUGAUAUACCCAGAAGGAAUUAGACAGACAGGAAAAAAGUUGGUCUAUACUGAAAUGAAUAUUUUAAAAACCUUCUUAGAUUCUGAACACUUUGAGUACAAAUGAAAGAGACCCAAGAGGGGGGAAAAUUUAAGAGCCCAAGAAUAAAAAAAUGGUGGGGGUGGGGGAUAACCCCUUACAUAGCUAACUAAGGUAUAAUAAGGGAAGGAAAUUAAUUUCCUGGAGAUUAUGAGAUAGAAUAUGAAAUCCCUUGGAUAGUAGGCAUUCUUAGACUCAUUAGGGUAGUUCACACUAGCACACUGCAGUAUUGUAAGGACAGUGGUAUGUGAUCUGGGGAAAUAUUAAUGGAUUUCCUAACACAGAGUUUGAUAUUUAUUGUAGUGUGUUAUAAAUGGGUAUGCAGCUCAAAAAUGAAUAUAAUUCAAAAUAAGUAUCGUAGAUACUAGAGAAAAUGUUAUAAAAUCUGGAUCUUUUGUCUCUAUUUUGCAACGUUAGAGAGUAAUGUAGAAUACAGAGCAUAGUAGAGAAUUGAUGGCAUGACUAUAAUCAGUAUUUGAUGGUUGCUUACUAGAAACUUCUAAAUAAAACCUGACAUUUGUCUAAUGUUGUCCUUAGUUGUACUGUAACAAUUUUAGUGAGAAAAUGUGUACCUUCUUGGGUCACUCUACUCCAUAGUCUGGCACAUCACUGUGGAAAUGUAGAAAUCUAAGCUCGUUUACCCAGAGAGGAAUGGAUCUUUGUAAAUUUGGAUACAGUAAGUACGUAGGGACACACACAGAAUGUGAGCCUAGAACAGUGGUUCUUGGUAUUUCGGCACUUUUCGACCCCCUUUUGAAAACCUGAAGGUAACUAUGGAUCCUUUCCCCAACAAGACUGCAAUUUCUGAGGGUAGAGGGACUGCCCUUGGCUGUCAGGUCAGGAAGCCCUGAUCUACAAGAUCAUCUUCAUUUUACUUCUGACCUUGCUCUUGACUUUAUUGUCAACUGUCUGUCAGGGGUUCUCGAAUGGAGCUUCAAAUCUUGAAGGACGCUUACUGCCUUACUCAUUGAACUGAAGCCCCAUGUCCAGAGCUCUGUAACGUAAUGGAGCAGACGUCGUUCACAAAACGCUGCCCCACAAGUACAGUGGUAAAAAGAGAGCCUGAGGCAUUUGUGUGUGGCACAGCCUCCUGGGUAGUACCUCCUUCCUACUGGCACAGGGGGGUUUAUUCCAUAGUAAGUUGAAUCUUGAUGUUCUGUUUUUAAAAUGAGCAUAUUUCUUCUAAAACCUCGAAUUAUUAUAAAGGUUUCUAACUGUGAUUUUUUCCUCGUGUCAUAGGAUGUCACAUUAAUGGUGUAAAAUGUGCACUUCAAAUUAACAUAGUAACUGGGAACCUGGGAUUGUUAUUUUGUGACUCAAAUCUAUAACACGUUUUCAGGGGAAUUGUUGAGAUGACCGGAUAAUUCAUUCUUUAUUCCUUUUAAGUUCCUGAAUGUAUGAUUGUUUCUGAAUCUUAUUAAGCCAUUUAUAAGAUGAGACAAAACUGUCUUCAGUUCGUAUUUUGACACAGAAUGCAUACAUUGAAUUGAUCUUAUUAGAAAUGUGUUUUUGACAAAAAAUUCUAUUUGAGUGGCUCUAAUCUUCAUUUUGGAAUCUCAGAUCCCCUGCUCGUUAUGUCGUUCACUGGGACUUUGCUGCAAAAUACAGCUUCGCUGAGAAGGCCAUCCUUGAAAAAUCAAGAAAUCUGAAGAAACUUACUUUGGGACUUGAGUAAAGAGACGGAAGAGCAUCGUCAGAUUGACAGCGCAGCACACUCUGGAAACAUCUUCGACUGCACUGCUUUUGUACAUGAAACAAUUUGACUGUUUUAUGAACUGGACCUAUAGAGAGAGAAAACAACCUCAUAAAAUGUAUCUUUAAUAUAAGAAAACAGGACUCUGGCCUUUGAAACAUUUCUGUCAGGACAGUUUGUUCUGACUACUCACUGAGGGAGGGAGGAGCUUGGGUCAUUGAACUCGACUGAAAGUUAGUUGCCAUGUAUUCUGGAUUUGAAGGUGUUUUUUUAAUUUCCUGUCAGAAUAUAGUGUUUUGGGCUUUUGCACCAUCUGCCUUCCAUGUGCCUUUCCUGUCCCCUGAGAGAGGAGCUGGAGUUCACCUGUGCCCUGAUACUUGUUCUCUGUCCUUUCUUUUCUAUACUGUUGACUUAAAUGUGGGGAAAUGUGGAGCAGGUGGAGGAUUCCAGGAUCCUGUUAAAUCUAUCCCGCUAUCCCUCCCAGGUAGUUGUAUUGCUUUUCCUUUUCAGCUCCUCUCAGUGUUGCCCAAUUUUAGCCCCUCGGUUAGGUCGAGGCGGCAUUAAAAUCACACCUUUUGAGGCUCCCUUCCCAUCGUCCUUUUUGUUCUGCCUGCAGUGGGCGGUUUUCAGUUGUCCUACUGGGCCACAUGUGCUCUCUCAUUUCCCUCCCCCUUCUUGCGUGUUCUGCUGGAGAGAGAAAACAGAUCUAGACUUGGGGAUUUGAGUUGCGUGGUUUGCCCCCACAGAUGCACAGCACGGUGUUUAAAAUACAGCCUCUUAGCUGUGCUGUCCACAGUAGUCUCCUUCAUACCUCUGCUCUAUGCUGGGCACUGUCCCCUCGUCCUCUCCACCGCUCGAUUCUCCUGAGGCCGGGAAUGGACCGCAUGGCGCCAUCCACGCAGGGGGAACCGUAGUUGACCUCUGUGUAAGCUUGCUAGUUCUGAGGUCAUGAGUUAACGAGGGAGCUGAAGAGUUCCCCGGGUCCUCCACCGGACUCUGGUAAAAGCAGAUCAUGUGCAGAGAAAGUCCUCAUGCCGGAAUGAUUUUGAAAACAAGAUUUGUCCAAAGAAAUAGGCCAAAUUCCAGGUUAACCGUGAACCCACAUUGACUCUCCUGGUGUGCCUUACUUUCCACAAAAUAAAAACCUUACCAAAUGAACCCUGACGUAAGUCAAAUGUGGUAUUACUCAAAAAGAGUUUUUACAAGUAGUUUUCAGAAACAUGUGCAAAUAAAUAUGUUUUGUAUGAAAGAGUAUAUACUAUGUACAAUAAUUUUCUGAUUCUUGCUCUAAUAAAUAUUAAACUUAAGCGGUCUCCGCAUUUGAGCCCUAAUAGUUUGAAAUUAUUUUUUCGAAAUUACUUUCUUGAGCAACAUUUUAAGGUACACAGUCUUUUUACUUUUCAUGUAACGUGCAAGUGUUCUUAGAAGCUGUUGACACGUGUUUGUUUUCCACAUGUGAACCUACUGUGUCUUCAGUAAGAGUUUCUGAACCUUUGGCUGUAAUUACCAAGCGCUGGGGGUUGGGCUGGCUGGAAAUGCGUGUUGAGCUUUUCUGUGUAUGCAGCAAACUGUGUGCAAAUAAAGUAGCUUUGUACCCUGAA